rnacentral:rRNA from 1 species
AGGUUAACCGAAUAGGGGAGCCGAAGGGAAACCGAGUCUUAACUGGGCGUUAAGUUGCAGGGUAUAGACCCGAAACCCGGUGAUCUAGCCAUGGGCAGGUUGAAGGUUGGGUAACACUAACUGGAGGACCGAACCGACUAAUGUUGAAAAAUUAGCGGAUGACUUGUGGCUGGGGGUGAAAGGCCAAUCAAACCGGGAGAUAGCUGGUUCUCCCCGAAAGCUAUUUAGGUAGCGCCUCGUGAAUUCAUCUCCGGGGGUAGAGCACUGUUUCGGCAAGGGGGUCAUCCCGACUUACCAACCCGAUGCAAACUGCGAAUACCGGAGAAUGUUAUCACGGGAGACACACGGCGGGUGCUAACGUCCGUCGUGAAGAGGGAAACAACCCAGACCGCCAGCUAAGGUCCCAAAGUCAUGGUUAAGUGGGAAACGAUGUGGGAAGGCCCAGACAGCCAGGAUGUUGGCUUAGAAGCAGCCAUCAUUUAAAGAAAGCGUAAUAGCUCACUGGUCGAGUCGGCCUGCGCGGAAGAUGUAACGGGGCUAAACCAUGCACCGAAGCUGCGGCAGCGACACUGUGUGUUGUUGGGUAGGGGAGCGUUCUGUAAGCCUGUGAAGGUGUGCUGUGAGGCAUGCUGGAGGUAUCAGAAGUGCGAAUGCUGACAUAAGUAACGAUAAAGCGGGUGAAAAGCCCGCUCGCCGGAAGACCAAGGGUUCCUGUCCAACGUUAAUCGGGGCAGGGUGAGUCGACCCCUAAGGCGAGGCCGAAAGGCGUAGUCGAUGGGAAACAGGUUAAUAUUCCUGUACUUGGUGUUACUGCGAAGGGGGGACGGAGAAGGCUAUGUUGGCCGGGCGACGGUUGUCCCGGUUUAAGCGUGUAGGCUGGUUUUCCAGGCAAAUCCGGAAAAUCAAGGCUGAGGCGUGAUGACGAGGCACUACGGUGCUGAAGCAACAAAUGCCCUGCUUCCAGGAAAAGCCUCUAAGCAUCAGGUAACAUCAAAUCGUACCCCAAACCGACACAGGUGGUCAGGUAGAGAAUACCAAGGCGCUUGAGAGAACUCGGGUGAAGGAACUAGGCAAAAUGGUGCCGUAACUUCGGGAGAAGGCACGCUGAUAUGUAGGUGAAGUCCCUCGCGGAUGGAGCUGAAAUCAGUCGAAGAUACCAGCUGGCUGCAACUGUUUAUUAAAAACACAGCACUGUGCAAACACGAAAGUGGACGUAUACGGUGUGACGCCUGCCCGGUGCCGGAAGGUUAAUUGAUGGGGUCAGCGCAAGCGAAGCUCUUGAUCGAAGCCCCGGUAAACGGCGGCCGUAACUAUAACGGUCCUAAGGUAGCGAAAUUCCUUGUCGGGUAAGUUCCGACCUGCACGAAUGGCGUAAUGAUGGCCAGGCUGUCUCCACCCGAGACUCAGUGAAAUUGAACUCGCUGUGAAGAUGCAGUGUACCCGCGGCAAGACGGAAAGACCCCGUGAACCUUUACUAUAGCUUGACACUGAACAUUGAGCCUUGAUGUGUAGGAUAGGUGGGAGGCUUUGAAGUGUGGACGCCAGUCUGCAUGGAGCCGACCUUGAAAUACCACCCUUUAAUGUUUGAUGUUCUAACGUGGACCCGUGAUCCGGGUUGCGGACAGUGUCUGGUGGGUAGUUUGACUGGGGCGGUCUCCUCCUAAAGAGUAACGGAGGAGCACGAAGGUUGGCUAAUCCUGGUCGGACAUCAGGAGGUUAGUGCAAUGGCAUAAGCCAGCUUGACUGCGAGCGUGACGGCGCGAGCAGGUGCGAAAGCAGGUCAUAGUGAUCCGGUGGUUCUGAAUGGAAGGGCCAUCGCUCAACGGAUAAAAGGUACUCCGGGGAUAACAGGCUGAUACCGCCCAAGAGUUCAUAUCGACGGCGGUGUUUGGCACCUCGAUGUCGGCUCAUCACAUCCUGGGGCUGAAGUAGGUCCCAAGGGUAUGGCUGUUCGCCAUUUAAAGUGGUACGCGAGCUGGGUUUAGAACGUCGUGAGACAGUUCGGUCCCUAUCUGCCGUGGGCGCUGGAGAACUGAGGGGGGCUGCUCCUAGUACGAGAGGACCGGAGUGGACGCAUCACUGGUGUUCGGGUUGUCAUGCCAAUGGCACUGCCCGGUAGCUAAAUGCGGAAGAGAUAAGUGCUGAAAGCAUCUAAGCACGAAACUUGCCCCGAGAUGAGUUCUCCCUGACCCUUUAAGGGUCCUGAAGGAACGUUGAAGACGACGACGUUGAUAGGCCGGGUGUGUAAGCGCAGCGAUGCGUUGAGCUAACCGGUACUAAUGAACCGUGAGGCUUAACCUUACAACGCCGAAGGUGUUU